rnacentral:ncRNA from 1 species
GGCCGGGUGUGGGGCUAAUAAAAUAGCGGCUUGCCGCGAAUAUGCCCGCCGACUUUGUCCGGUUUGAAGCACCUGGCCACCCACAG